rnacentral:rRNA from 1 species
AAAUUGAAGAGUUUGAUCAUGGCUCAGAUUGAACGCUGGCGGCAGGCCUAACACAUGCAAGUCGAACGGUAACAGGAAGCAGCUUGCUGCUUUGCUGACGAGUGGCGGACGGGUGAGUAAUGUCUGGGAAACUGCCCGAUGGAGGGGGAUAACUACUGGAAACGGUAGCUAAUACCGCAUAACGUCGCAAGACCAAAGAGGGGGACCUUAGGGCCUCUUGCCAUCGGAUGUGCCCAGAUGGGAUUAGCUAGUAGGUGGGGUAAUGGCUCACCUAGGCGACGAU